AUUGAACGCUGGCGGCAUGCCUUACACAUGCAAGUCGAACGGCAGCGCGGGAGCAAUCCUGGCGGCGAGCGGCGAACGGGUGAGUAAUACAUCGGAACGUGCCCAAUCGUGGGGGAUAACGCAGCGAAAGCUGUGCUAAUACCGCAUACGAUCUACGGAUGAAAGCAGGGGAUCGCAAGACCUUGCGCGAAUGGAGCGGCCGAUGGCAGAUUAGGUAGUUGGUGAGGUAAAGGCUCACCAAGCCUUCGAUCUGUAGCUGGUCUGAGAGGACGACCAGCCACACUGGGACUGAGACACGGCCCAGACUCCUACGGGAGGCAGCAGUGGGGAAUUUUGGACAAUGGGCGAAAGCCUGAUCCAGCCAUGCCGCGUGCAGGAUGAAGGCCUUCGGUUG
rnacentral:rRNA from 1 species